ensembl:lncRNA novel transcript, antisense to METAP1D
AACUUCUGUACCAGCUGCUGCUGCCCGCAGAAUUCCUCUCCUUUGGUUUAAGGGCACAAUGCUGGGGGCAGAAAUAUUUCAGGCAGAGUGGUUGGAGCAAAAAGAAAAGCAAAAGCAAAAAAAACCCAAUACGCCAAACCAAUAACGGGUUUGCCAACGUUUAAAAGAUUUUUUUUUUCUUAAUCACCGAACCACACGGUGAGGCUUUGUAGCAACAGCCAGCUAAUGAUUCCGCCACCAGGCAACUCCGGGAGCCGCUCGGCUCGUCCUGAUUUCUGUGUCGCACUUGUGGUUUUAAUUGCUCCUUCCUAGUGCCUGUUUUAGGGUAUGGAGUGCCACGCCGUGUGCCCAGCACAGUCGCUCGGAUACUGCCGGGCCCCAGGUCUCUCGCGCGUGCCCUGAGGGCCUUGCCCAAGUAAGUGAUCGCCGCGGCGGGCGCGGGGUCGGGGUUGGGACCGGGGAAAGCGGAAUUGGUAAUUCCCGGAGCUCAGGGCAAGGCGUGAGGAAACCCGACGGCCGGGCCGCCUAGGGACAGUGUAUUCCAGAGACUUGCAAGGUGGGGGAAGGGGAGAGACGGCCGCACAUCGCGACAGUCUCUUGGGUGCUCUGUGUCCACAGCUGGAAAAGGAUCAAAGACUUUUGCGGUAGCACAGGGGACCUGGUUGCCUUCUUGGAACAAAAGUCCGGCAUGAGCCCCUCGGGAUACUGUUUCAGAGCCUUGCUUAAUUUAGAAGCGGGUUGUGUGUGAGCAAGAGAUGGCUACACUCCGGAAUUAUUUCUUAGCUCAGAAAGGUCUAGGGAGGAGCACUGAGCGCGGGCCCUCUGAUGCCGAGCCGCUGGCGGUAGCUGGUUUCUCAAUGUGGGAUCUUAGCUGCACUCAGUGAACUUGGAGUGGAUCCCUCCCACCCCCUACUGCUAAGGUGACACCUGUUCUGAAUGCCGGUUUGCUUAAAUUGUUGCCUGCCCUCACUCUGAGAGAAAACAAAACUCUCCCAUUUGUCCUGAGGGUCCGGGAUUCCUCAUGGAGCCUACUGGAGUCACCUCAGGACCAGGAGGUCCUGGUGGUGUUAGCCGCAGCCACUCUUGGCUGGAAUCCCAGUGGCUCUGGGUGAGGUUUUCGGCCAGUUCAGCUGGAAGAGGGACAGGAAGGCGUGGACGAGGUAUUUUUAAAUCUACUUCCUAAUCUCAACUUCAAAGCAUGUUAAAGGGAGUUCUUUAGGGAGCUGCUGAGUGUUGGUACACACAUACACACAUAUAUAUAUACACCCACACACUUUAGGUUAGUCCCUUUAAUAAAUGGAAUUAUAAACUUGUCCCAUAAAUACCUCCACCUCAAAAUAAUUGCUGCACAAGCAGCGUGUUACCUCAGUGGUUAGUAAAGUCCUGUGGUCCUAAUAAAACUAUCCUUGGGGAACCUCGGAGUAAACUGAUUUGCAGAUAAGAUACAAUGCUAAUGGUUGCAAUCUGAUUGCCUUAGGAGAAAACUGAAGUCAUUCUCCAGCAAACAUCUCCCAAGGCCAGCUGAACCCUCUUGAUCUUUAGGGAAUUCAGAUCUUUGGGGGGGUGGGGGGCAGUAGCAUCAGGCUGUGGGCCUCUGCUUGGCCAACUUCCGACCACACAAAAAGUUUUUCUAUGGACCUUGUAAAUCAUCAACCCCUCCUUGGUCUUUUCCAGUUCUCAGACUCACUAGAAUCAGAAACACCUCUAUCCAAAAA